rnacentral:rRNA from 1 species
GACGAAGGAUGCAAGCGUUAUCCGGAUUCAUUGGGUUUAAAGGGAGCGUAGGUGGCCUUAUAAGUCAGUGGUGAAAUCUCUCAGCUUAACUGAGAAAUUGCCAUUGAUACUGUAGGGCUUGAGUACAGUUGCUGUGGGCGGAAUAUGACAUGUAGUGGUGAAAUACAUAGAGAUGUCAUAGAACACCGAUUGCGAAGCGCUCACAAAACUGUAACUGACACUGAGGCUCGAAAGUGCGGGGAUCAAACAGG